CGCCCUAAACGAUGUCUACUAGUUGUCGGGUUUUAAUUAACUUGGUAACGCAGCUAACGCGUGAAGUAGACCGCCUGGGGAGUACGGUCGCAAGAUUAAAACUCAAAGGAAUUGACGGGGACCCGCACAAGCGGUGGAUGAUGUGGAUUAAUUCGAUGCAACGCGAAAAACCUUACCUACCCUUGACAUGUACGGAAGUCACGAGAGAUCGAGAUGUGCUCGAAAGAGAACCGUAACACAGGUGCUGCAUGGCUGUCGUCAGCUCGUGUCGUGAGAUGUUGGGUUAAGUCCCGCAACGAGCGCAACCCUUGUCAUUAGUUGCUACAUUUAGUUGAGCACUCUAAUGAGACUGCCGGUGACAAACCGGAGGAAGGUGGGGAUGACGUCAAGUCCUCAUGGCCCUUAUGGGUAGGGCUUCACACGUCAUACAAUGGUACAUACAGAGGGCCGUCAACCCGCGAGGGGGAGCUAAUCCCAGAAAGUGUAUCGUAGUCCGGAUCGUAGUCUGCAACUCGACUACGUGAAGUUGGA
rnacentral:rRNA from 1 species